UACGGAGGGUGCAAGCGUUGUUCGGAAUUACUGGGCGUAAAGCGCGUGUAGGCGGCCUUUUAUGUCAGGUGUGAAAGCCCUCGGCCUAACCGAGGAAGUGCGCCUGAAACUGAUUGGCUUGAGUACGAGAGAGGAGGACGGAAUUCCCAGUGUAGAGGUGAAAUUCGUAGAUAUUGGGAGGAACACCGGUGGCGAAAGCGGUUCUCUAGAUCGAUACUGACGCUAAGACGCGAAAGCGUGGGGAGCAAACAGG
rnacentral:rRNA from 1 species